rfam:Echinostoma caproni strain Egypt genome assembly, scaffold: ECPE_scaffold0001027
GCACUGAUGACGAGUCCCGCACAGGACGAAACAGCUGUCCAGUGC